rnacentral:rRNA from 1 species
GAUGAACGCUGGCGGCGUGCUUAAUACAUGCAAGUCGAGCGGAGACGUUAUAGCAAUAUGAUGUCUUAGUGGCGAACGGGUGAGUAACGCGUUGGUGACCUGCCCCGAAGUGCGGGAUAACAGCUCGAAAGGGCUGCUAAUACCUCAUGUGGUCCUAAGGGUUAGAGACCUCAGGACUAAAGGAGCAAUCCGCUGCGGGAGGGGCCUGCGUCCCAUCAGCUUGUUGGUAGGGUAAUGGCCUACCAAGGCGACGACGGGUAGGGGGCCUGAGAGGGUGACCCCCCACACUGGCACUGAGACACGGGCCAGACACCUACGGGUGGCAGCAGUAGGGAAUAUUGCACAAUGGGCGAAAGCCUGAUGCAGCAACGCCGCGUGCGCGAUGAAGGCCUUCGGGUCGUAAAGCGCUUUUCGGGGAGAUGAGGAAGGACAGUAUCCCCGGAAUAAGGCUCGGCUAACUACGUGCCAGCAGCCGCAGUAAUAC